rnacentral:lncRNA from 1 species
GAAGAAAAGGAGAAGAAAAUUAGCGCAGUCACAUUCAUAAAAUAGAGGCCCCCCAUCGCCGCCUCUCUGCUUCAAAAAAAUGACCCCUGAAGCUCGUCUUCUUGGACGAGACCAGCCUCGCCAGCUCCUCCACUCAUCUCCCAGCUUGCCGGAAUUCGGCUACCACCAGUAGCUGAGGCUCACACGACCCUUCGCCGGAAAACAAGUCGCACAGCAACAAACACACAAACAUGACCCCUCGACGAAAACCAGUCGUACAGCAACAAACACACACCCACAACGAGUUCUCACCUCUAUUCUAAACUAAAACGAAAACAAAAUAGUAGGGGGAGGGAAUUGAAAUCGAAACAGAAAGGGGGGAAAGGAACGGGAAAGUAGGGGAGGUGAAAAACAGUGAGAACAGAGGGAUUGAACGGACAUGUUUCAUUCUCAUUUCGAAUUCGAAUCUCUUCGAUUUUCAUGUCGACUUCUGGUUUGCUUCUGAUUUUCCAAUUCAGGUUCUUAUCUGAGGUGAGCGUGGAGGUUGUUGACAAUCUCGUCGAGGUUUCCGUUCAAAAUUUGGUUGUGGAUUGGCCUUUGCUCAAGUUUUUCUUUUCGAUUUUUAGUUGUGUAUCAGAUAUGAAUCUCUAUUCGAAAUGCUGAAAUUGUUGAUCCGUUUGCCAUUAUUUUCUUAUGCUCUGACGUCUCCUUUGGAUUGUUGAAACAUAUGUUCAUGAUUUGCUCAUCGAAGACUUCAAUUUGUGUUGAUUGUUUACUGCCUCUAUUUUGUUGAAGUAAGCUGAUUCAUGUUCAGCAAUACGUGAGCGAGGUUUUCCUUACGGAGUUUACUGUUGUUGUUCUUUCUACAAAUUGCUUUCGUUCAGAUUGUUCCUCGAUCUUUGUUUUUUUCUGUUGUUAUUUAGACAGUGUUUAUAGUGGAUUUUUUAUGGAAUUGAGAUGAAAUCCAACCAACAUUGAUUCUUUUA